CAAAGCAGUGUUGUGAUGAUUGAGUGCGUAAAUGUAAAGCACUUAGAGACUGGCACAUCAAGUGCUAGGAAAGCGUUUGCCACCACGUUGUGGUCUUCCUUGUUGCAGUUAAAGGUGCUAAGAGUCUUUUAAAUUGCAAAUGCCCCUGAAUGUCAUAUAUCAUUGCACAAAACUUUUCAGAAGCCACCACUUAACUAAGAAUCCCAUUGAAAUAUCUAGCAGGCAGGCGCUUGUGGGCAGACUUCUGGUCAGGGCACUGGAGGUGCAUCCCAAGAGAGAAGAGGGGAUUGAAGGACUCACAUUUGCCAAAUGCCUGCUGUAUGCCAGGGGCUUUGCCCACCUUAAAGUCCUCCUGAGGGAAGGAAGCAGGAUGAAGCCCCGUGUCACACACCUGGGAGUGGUAGGCUGUGCUCGCCAGUACCUGCAGAGUCUCCCAGGCACUGGGGUGCUGGUGAGUGAGGGAGGUGCUUCUAGGAACCUUGCCCUAUCCAGCAUGGAACCAGCAUUUUGGUCCCAACACACCGGACUUGGAACAUUCGAAUCUGAUCUAUAAUUUGCUCAUGGAUGGCGGCAGCCCUCGUGCCCACACUCUUAAGGGCCCUUGUGAGUGUGCACACGCGUUGAUGGGAAGGUGAGGGGUGUGGGGAGGCAGCCACAGCCUUCAGCUGCAGUAUCAUUGCAGAUGCUGGGGACGUGAGAGCUGAAAGGCGCUCUUAAAUCGCACAAAUGCAACGUGACUUUUAAAAGAAUCUGAGGCAAAAGGCACGCUCCAAAAAAACCCAUGUGAGCCGGGAGGAGACUGCCACUAUAGCUAACAAAGUGGGGAAGCAAUUUUGCAAAGUAAGAAAACUAGUCUCAGGCUAACCAGAGAUGCUGACAAACCUGAGAUUCCAGGCGGAUCUAAAUUAGAAAUCGGUCAAGGGAAAACACAGUGAUAGUCCCCCUUGUGGAUUCCAGUAAGAACUCUUUAAAUUCAUGACCCUGAUGGAGUAGCAGUAGGAGAGAGAGGCCCUGGGGAUGCAAAUGCCCUCAGUAGCUCAGCUCUGCUCACUAGACACUCGGGUGGGUGAGGUUGGGCGCUGGGAGUCUCGUGGGGACAGGAUGCCUGCCUACUUGGCCCUCAACUCUAGGUGAAUCCUAUCCUUCUCUUCACCGUCUUCCUCCUCUUCCCUCUCUGGACCCUCUGCUUGCUCUGUGAACCUGGAUUGAUCUCCACUCACCCCUCACUCCUGAAUGGGGCCCUCGAAGGGAGACAUCCCUGGCUGUGCUGAUGUCGUGAAUGCUGCUAGGCCAGACUGGUGUCUGCAGGAGGACAAAGCAAGGGCUGGUUCUGACUUUGGUUUGAAGGUGAUUUUCCCACAGAUCCCCCUUGGCAUGAUGCUUUUACCUCAUUUGUCUCUGUGCCUUUGGCUCUAAAUCUUAACAUCUUAAUUAGAUUGUGUUUACAUUUGCACCAUCCAUGUGGUCUGGCACUUGAAGAUUGGAUAGAGUGACACAAAUAUUUCGACUCAGGGAGUGCCAGUGGAGGGAGAGAGCCUGGAGACCAGCUACUCCAAUGCCCUCAUUUGCCUUUGCUCAUGUCCGUCUCAUCAAGCAGGGACCCUGCAGGUGGGAAAGAAAGAUGGCAAGAGGACAGCCAAUAUCACAUUUUCCUUCCCAAGACAGGGAUGAAAAGCCACCAAGACGGCUUUUGUGAAAAUCUGGAAGGACAAGAAAAGCCCACUUUAAUCAUCGGAUCUCAUUUCAUCUAUUGUUAGCCUUGAGGAGUGGCGAGCCGGCUGUUCCUGCUAAGCUCUUCAGUACCCAGCUAGAUGGGCACCCUGAACAGAAGCGCUUCUGGACUAGUGCCAUAGGGACUGCUCUGAGUACCAGGGUGGCCUCGGGCAAGGCUCCAGCCCUUUCUUGAAUGACUUCCCAGGCCUGAGGAGGCACAGGUGAGAAAAUGUAUGUGGAAGCUCUCUACACACCGUGAAGUUCAUCCAAAUGGAGCAGGAUGGUCUCUCUGGUCUGCUGUGCCCUCCCCCUCCCCACACCCAUAAAUAACAGCAGCCCUUCCAACUCUCCUCCUGAUCCUGUGCUCAGUGAUGGGGGCCUUGCAGUGGGCAGCCAGGGCCAGCAUGGCCAAGCCCUGUCAGUCCCUUCCUUCUAAAGGUGAACUGGACAGCAUUUGCUCUCUUUAGUGUGUGAUUUGGAUUUACACAAAUUCAAAAGCUGCCGGAUUUCAGAGCGUGUUUGUCACUGCCAUCGUCAUUCUUUUGUUCAGGCAGCAGUGAGAAUCUGCUCAGCACUUGUGAGCACUAUAUGCUGAAAUGCCUGAGAAGGCUUUCCUGCCCUGCAGGGACCAGGGCUCAGCACCUUUUUCAGGCUCCAGGAAGCUCAUAUCCUGCUGAUGAACAGCUCGUGGCCAUUGCAGCACUAUGGAAAACCCGCAGCUCCUGGCAUUUAACUACAUGCCACUCAGGAACAUUGAAGUCCUAAUGAUGUCUACCUUCUUUGGAGCAGGAGGCCACAUGCCCAGGACUGUCACAUCUAUGUCUCCACAUGGCUAUUGGGCACCGUCUGUGUGCGUGGAGGUGUGGGCAGAGGACCACGAUGAAGGCCACAGUCCCUCCAAAGCCAGCACUCCUGCCCCAAAGCCCC